rnacentral:rRNA from 1 species
UACGGGAGGCAGCAGUGGGGAAUAUUGCACAAUGGGCGCAAGCCUGAUGCAGCCAUGCCGCGUGUAUGAAGAAGGCCUUCGGGUUGUAAAGUACUUUCAGUCGUGAGGAAGGUGUUAAGGUUAAUAACCUUAGCAAUUGACGUUAGCGACAGAAGAAGCACCGGCUAACUCCGUGCCAGCAGCCGCGGUAAUACGGAGGGUGCGAGCGUUAAUCGGAAUUACUGGGCGUAAAGGGCACGCAGGCGGUUAAUUAAGUUGGAUGUGAAAUCCCCGGGCUUAACCUGGGAAUGGCAUUCAAGCUGGUUAGCUAGAGUCUUGUAGAGGGGGUAGAAUUCCAUGUGUAGCGGUGAAAUGCGUAGAGAUGUGGAGGAAUACCGGUGGCGAAGGCGGCCCCUGGGACAAAGGACUGACGCUCAUGUGCGAAAGCGUGGGGAGCGAAAC